rnacentral:rRNA from 1 species
AUUGAACGCUGGCGGCAUGCUUUACACAUGCAAGUCGAACGGUAACAGGCCUUCGGGUGCUGACGAGUGGCGAACGGGUGAGUAAUGCAUCGGAACGUGCCCAGAGGUGGGGGAUAACGCAGCGAAAGCUGUGCUAAUACCGCAUGUGAUCUGAGGAUGAAAGCGGGGGACCAGGCAACAAUGUUUGGCCUCGCGCCUUUGGAGCGGCCGAUGUCAGAUUAGGUAGUUGGUGGGGUAAAGGCCUACCAAGCCGACGAUCUGUAGCUGGUCUGAGAGGACGACCAGCCACACUGGGACUGAGACACGGCCCAGACUCCUACGGGAGGCAGCAGUGGGGAAUUUUGGACAAUGGGCGCAAGCCUGAUCCAGCAAUGCCGCGUGCGGGAAGAAGGCCUUCGGGUUGUAAACCGCUUUUGUACGGAACGAAAAGGCUCUGGCUAAUACCUGGGGCUGAUGACGGUACCGUAAGAAUAAGCACCGGCUAACUACGUG